GAAUAGCAUGCGUGAGCGAUUGCAGCGGCAUCCUUUUUCUUUGCAUGGCUGAAGAAUGAAGGCUUGCCAAGAAAUAGAUACAGCGAAAAGCGCGACCUGCU
rnacentral:sRNA from 1 species